GAUCAUGGCUCAGGAUGAACGCUAGCUACAGGCUUAACACAUGCAAGUCGAGGGGAAGCAUGUUGGUUGCUUGCAACCAAUGAUGGCGACCGGCGCACGGGUGAGUAACGCGUAUCCAACCUACCCUUGUCCAUCGGAUAACCCGUCGAAAGGCGGCCUAACACGAUAUGCGGUUAACAGCAGGCAUCUAACGUGAACGAAAUGUGAAGGAGAAGGAUGGGGAUGCGU
rnacentral:rRNA from 1 species